CCAUCAAACGUUCCUAAGAUAAUCUGAUGAUUUUUUUUUAUUAUUUAUUGGACUUAUAUGUUUUUUCAGCAGACACCUCAUGCGUACUGCUACAUUUUACUCACACUUGAUAAUUGUUAUUGAUUGAUGCAUGUUCUCACCAUACCCCAUGUAAAAAAUUGUCUAUUUAAGGAGAAAAGUCCUUUUUUCUGAUCUUUUUUUCUUGUUUUCAACAGAUCAGGUCAUUAAGGAAACAGAUUUGAAUGAAACUGGAUGGAGUCACAGGUUUUAAACUACCAUCAAACGUUCCUAAGAGAAUCUGAUGAUUUUUUUGUUAUUUAUUGGACUUAUAUGUUUUUUCAGCAGACACCUCAUGUAAAAAAUUCUCUAUUUAAGGAGAAAAAAGUCCUUUUUUCUGAUCUUUUUUUCUUGUUUUCAACAGAUCAGCUCAUUAACAAAACAAAUUUGAAUGAAAGUGGAUGGAAUCACAGGUUUUAAACUACCAUCAAAUGUUGUUAAGGUCAUUAAGGAAACAGAUUUGAAUGAAACUGGAUGGAGUCACAGGUUUUAAUCUACCAUCAAACGUUCCUAA